UGUGGCCUCUCCCGUUGCGGAGCACAGGCUCCGGACGCGCAGGCUCAGCGGCCAUGGCUCACGGGCCCAGCCGCUCCGCGGCAUGUGGGAUCUUCCCAAACCGGGGCACGAACUCGUGUCCCCUGCAUCGGCAGGCGGACUCUCAACCACUGCGCCACCAGGGAAGCCCUGCAUUGCUGGCAAGUAAAUAGAGAGCCCUAGAAGAAAGACAACAAUGAUGAAACAGUUGAAUGUUAAAGAUGUAGUGUUGCCUUCUCUCUGAAACAAAGAACCAUUGAAGAAUUGUUGAAGCAACGGAUGGAGAGUCGCCCAGCAACAUGAUUCCCCAGGAGUGACAAGUAACAUUCCUUGAUUCAGGAUUAAGUUCAGUUUCUUCUGUGAUCCGGACUCAGCCCAAAGUCCAGCUUGCUCUGCUGCCAUCCUUUCCCCAGUGCAUCCUGUGUCCCAGCUGCCGAAAGCUGAAUUCCCUGGAGCCCCUCCUCGGCCUCCUGCAGUCACAACAGCACAUACUGCACAUGCUGCCAGCUGACCUGAAGGCCUUUCAUCCUGCUCCUCCACCCUGGCCACUUGGCUUGUCCUUUAAGACCUAGCUCAAGUGGUGUCACCUCCAGGGAGCUUGUAUAUAGCUUUGACAUAAAUUUUCUGAGUUUGAUAUGUCUCCUCUGAGCUACCUGAGGCCUUACUAUUCUAGUAUUUAUCAAGUUUUUCUUUGUUUUUUGUUUUUAUUGGCUGCGCCAUGCAUGUGGGAUCUUAAUUCCCUGACCAGGUAUCGAACCUACGCCCUCAGCAGUGAAAGCGCAGAGUCCUAACCACUAGACCACCAGGGAAUUCCCUAUCAAGUUGUUUUAAUGGUCUGUUUAUCUAUUUCUUUCUACCACCACCCUCCCACAGACAGACAGACAGACAGACAGACAG